GCGUGGCUUCCGGAGCUAACGCGUUAAGUAGACCGCCUGGGGAGUACGGCCGCAAGGUUAAAACUCAAAUGAAUUGACGGGGGCCCGCACAAGCGGUGGAGCAUGUGGUUUAAUUCGAUGCAACGCGAAGAACCUUACCUGGUCUUGACAUCCACAGAAGAAUCCAGAGAUGGAUUGGUGCCUUCGGGAACUGUGAGACAGGUGCUGCAUGGCUGUCGUCAGCUCGUGUUGUGAAAUGUUGGGUUAAGUCCCGCAACGAGCGCAACCCUUAUCCUUUGUUGCCAGCGAUUAGGUCGGGAACUCAAAGGAGACUGCCAGUGAUAAACUGGAGGAAGGUGGGGAUGACGUCAAGUCAUCAUGGCCCUUACGACCAGGGCUACACACGUGCUACAAUGGCGCAUACAAAGAGAAGCGACCUCGCGAGAGCAAGCGGACCUCAUAAAGUGCGUCGUAGUCCGGAUUGGAGUCUGCAACUCGACUCCAUGAAGUCGGAAUCGCUAGUAAUCGUGGAUCAGAAUGCCACGGUGAAUACGUUCCCGGGCCUUGUACACACCGCCCGUCACACCAUGGGAGUGGGUUGCAAAAGAAGUAGGUAGCUUAACCUUCGGGAGGGCGCUUACCACUUUGUGAUUCAUGACUGGGGUGAAGUCGUAACAAGGUAACCGUAGGGGAACCUGCGGUUGGA
rnacentral:rRNA from 2 species